rnacentral:rRNA from 1 species
GACGAACGCUGGCGGCGUGCCUAAUACAUGCAAGUCGAACGCUGAAGGGAGGAUCUUGCUCUUCUUGGAUGAGUUGCGAACGGGUGAGUAACGCGUAGGUAACCUGCCUUGUAGCGGGGGAUAACUAUUGGAAACGAUAGCUAAUACCGCAUAACAAUGGGUGACACAUGUCAUUUAUUUGAACGGGCCAAUUGCUGCACUACAGGAUGGACCUGCGUUGUAUUAGCUAGUAGGUGAGGUAAUGGCUCACCUAGGCGACGCUACAUAGCCGACCUGAGAGGGUGAACGGCCACACUGGGACUGGGAAAAGGCCCAGACUCCUUCGGGGGGCAGCAGGAGGGAAUCUUCGGCAAUGGGGGCAACCCUGACCGAGCAACGCCGCGUGAGUGGAGAAGGGUUUCGGAUCGUAAAGGUCGGUUGUGAGUCAAGAACGGGUGUGAGAGUGGAAAGUUCACACUGUGACGGUAGCUUACCAGAAAGGGACGGCUAACUACGUG